rnacentral:lncRNA from 1 species
UCAUUUUAUUUUAUUCUUUACCAGUAUUACGUUAAGAAGUCCAUUUGCACGCACCCCCUUUUGAGCAUGGGAACGUACGCCAGAAUCCAGCUCAGCAAGGGGAGAAACCUAGUAUUUUGCAAAUGAGGAGGGAGUUGGAGCGGAUGAAAUCGGCUCUCGAAACGAAAGGCCGCCUUUUUCAACCGCAUAUGAAAGACUAUCUCUUAAAAGAGAUUACGCUCCUCACUAACAAAAUAAGCUUCAAUAUGCUCUUUCAGAUAUGGUACAUUUGCACCCUCUAUACACAUCGGAAAAUCCUGCGCUGACGAAAAGGAAUGUGUAGGCAGGUGAUUAAAUUUACUCUUGGAAAGAAAAACGGAGAAUGUUUUCAACCGCAUUUGAAAGACUCUCUUUUAAAAGAGAUUCCAUUUUUGCAGAGUCGUAUUCGUCUUAGUGACAACAUGAAAGAAGGAUUUUUUGUAUUUAUAUGUUUUUUCGUGCAAUCGAUUAUCUACUGAUGAGUUGAUGUACCUGUAUAUAUUUUUGGGUAAAAUAUACUUCUUUUUACCCCCGUGUAAUAAGCUCAAUCGAGAGUUGUAUUCGACUUAGUGACAACAUGAAAGAAGGAAUUUGUAUUUAUAUGUUUUUUUUUUGUCUAAUGAAUUAUUUACUUAUGAGUUGAUUUAUUUCAAUUUGAUUUGUUCAUUGUGAAAAUACUGUGUGUAUGUAUUUUUGGGCACUAUGGUUUAUGGAAUGGCAACGAAUAUAUGCAAGACGAAAAUUACUAAGUGCAAGACCUUACUUUAUGCAAGACUAAUAUAUAAAUAAAUUUACUAAGAUCAAGAUUGGAAAUUACAAAUAUAACCCCAAUAUUAAUUUAGAUAUUAUUAAUUCAAAUUAGGCUAAUUGCUAUUGCAAGACAAAAAAAAAAAAAAAAGGAAUAAAGAAAAGGAAAAAAGAGGGAACUCACUCCCCCAACAAAACCCCAACACUCAUAUUACACACUUUUUUCCACAAAAAAAUCUUCCAUAUUCUCCAAAACCCUCAUCACACAAAUCCCUCAAAUCUUACUAAAACUUGAAAAGAAGGACAUUAUGGAUACACAAGACAUAAAUAUGGAGGAUUUUAAGGUCGAAGAACACAAAAAGGUAAGAAAUAUUGUACUUUGUGAUCGUUUUUCUCGUUUUUCGCACCUCAUUUCACGUACAAAAAAUUCGACAUGUACAUGUCGAAAUAUGCUCCGAAUAUCGACACAUUAGUGUCGAAAAUUUCAACAUAAAUCGACACUCUUUUCUUGUCGAUUUUUAUUGAAUUUUUCAACACUGUGGUAUCGAUAUUCGGUGCAUAUUUCGACACUGGUGUGUCGAUUUUUCACUGUUACAAUUGUUUAACCAAAAAUCGACACCAAUAUGUCGAAAUAUUUCCAAAAAAUCGACAAGUACAGGUCGUUUUUUGUAAAAUCGCAACUCCUUCAACAAUAGUGCUAGAAUCGAACCCUAAAAUUAUCAACUAUGUUCUAAAAUGACUUGUAUUCAUUAUUCUAACAAUAAAAUCAUGUUUAUCACAUUUUAUUUCUCAAAAAAAAUUAACUCAAAAAGUAAUUUUCUUACUUUCUUUUCGUGAGACUGCUGUGGCGGGGUUGAGGCAACAACAGUUGCAGGUGGGGAGGUUCUAGUGGUUGUCGACUGCAACGGCGACGGGGCGACGGCGAAGGGCGGCAGCGAGUGCUGCAAUUGAUUUUUUUCCCUUCUUCCCUCCUCGUUUUUUAGUUCUCAUUUUUCAAUUUAUUUUUUCUUUCUUUUUUUAUUAAUUUUUGUUUUUUAAAUUAGUCUUGCAAAAGUAAAUUAAUAAAAGAAUUUUAUUUUUUUUGGUAUUUUACUAAGGCUAUUAUAGUCUUUUUAUACUUAGUUUGAUAAAAAAAAAAUUAAUUUGGUCUUGCUCUAAGUAAGUUUGUGAUUGCAAAUAGUCGCUGUCUUAUGGAAUAUUUACCCCUUUUAAUUUGAAAAUUGUCAUUUACCCCUCAACUAAUGAGUCAACCUAUUUGACUACUAAAAUAGUGAGGUGGUUUAAAUGAAAUGUAAUUUUAUCCUCAAAAUUUUACAUCAUUUUUUAUUAGGUUGAGGCUAUAUGCAAGACUAAUUUCACUUGUGCAAGAUCAAAUUAAAAUUUUCAAUAUAUAAAUACUAUAAUACCCUUAUUUGUUAAAAAAUAGAAAAUUUCAAAUGUGCAAUACCAAAAACUCAAAAACAAAAAAAACUCUAUCACAAAACCACAAAACCAACUCUCAUAAAUCUUUCUCCUUCCUCAUCUAUAAACCCACAAAACCUAAACAUUCAAAAUCAUCAAAACUCAACAAAUCUUACAAAGAUGGCAAGUAUGGAGUCAAUAGACAUCAAAAUAGAAGAAUCUACGGUAGAAUAAUCCAAGAAAUUAUGCAUUUAUGUGUUUUUUUUAGCUAGAAUAUCGUUUUUCCAAAAACAAUCCCGCGCAGACACAGUCGACGUGUACAUGUCGAAUUUUAUAGGCAAAAAUCGACAAUGAGAUGUCGAUUUUGUAGUACAAAAUCGACACCUUAGUGUCGAAAUUUAAUUGUUAGUAAAUUAGGCUAAAUAUACUAAAUUUCGACAUUAAGGUGUCGAAUUUAUGGACAUAUAUUCGACACCUUAAUGUCGAAAUUUAGUUGUUUCAUAUUUCGACAUGUACAUGUCAAAUUUUAUAGGUAAAAAUCGACAUUGAGAUGUUGAUUUUGGAGUACAAAAUCGACACCUUAGUGUCGAAAUUUAACUGUUAGCAAAUUAGUCCAAAAUUUACUAAAUUUCGACAUUAAGGUGUCGAAUUUAUGGACAUAUAUUCGACACCUCAAUGUCGAAAUUUAGUUGUUUCAUAUUUUAUUAUUAUUUGUUAUUUGGUCUUGCAUGAGCAAACAAAAACCAAUUUAAUUUAUGGGUAUAUUUGUCAUCUCAUCUUAAUAAAAUAGAAUAUUUUGGAAUCUUUCUUUAAUUUGGUCUUGCACAAGUGAAAUUAGUAUUGCAUAUAGCCGCAGCCUUUUUAUUAUUAUUGUCCUUCACACAUGAUACCUUAUUUUUAUAAUAGGAAAUUAAUUUUUAUACUGUGAAUAAAUUUAAAUAAAUGUUUUGGGUUAGUUUCAUUUUUUAAAUUGAUAAAAUUAUUUACUUUAAUUAUUAUUUUAAAAAAAAUAUUUUUAACAUUAAAAUUUAUAUAAUUAGUUAUAACUAGAAUUUAUGUAAUUUGUAAUUUGAAGUCCAAAUGUUUUUUUUUUUGUUGGAUUAAAUUUCAUUGAAUUAAUAUAAAGUGUAUAUUGUGUUGAUUUUUUUAUUCAUGAAAUCAAUUUAUAAAUAACAUUGAAAAAAAAUAUAUGAUUAAAGUAUUACCAUUAUCAUAAAGGCUAGUACCAAUCUCUUAAUUAGGAAUUAUUAUAACUAGCCUAUAUUAAAUCUCAUGUGGAGAAUAAUGUUAAAUGUUGUGCUAAAAUUUUAAAUAACGAAAAUAUUUCCGAUUUUAAGAGUGAGUUAAAUGGCAAUUCGAUUGGUACUUAUAAUAUAAGACCCGAUCCCAAAAGGAUAAAAAUAAUUUUAUGUAAAAUCAUUUGAUUGUUAUAGAAAAUAAAUGGCAGUGGUUUGGGUUGAUGCAGAUACAAUUAUUCGUCUGCUCUUAUUCUCGAAAACAGAAGUUGAAACUUUAUAAUUUGAAAUCAUUAUUCGAAUAAAGAUUAAAUUUAAUUAAAAUAAAGCCGCAAUUUUUCCCAGCCAUUUAUUUUUUUGUUAACCAGUAAAAACACAGUUCAAUUUUUGGAUUGAAAAAAUGAUUCGGAAUUUGUAAAUAUUUUUUGAAUUAAGGGGUUUAUACAUUUUUUAUUCGAGGUGAAUUGAAAAACAAAAAUAGUCUAGAUUAUACUAGAUCCUCUACCAUAGUCCAGUUUCGAACCCUUUAAAGCGUUCUUUGUGAGAUCACAUUUUACUUGUAACUUAUAUAGCACGGACAUGAAAAAGGUGAUACGGAAAAACUGACACGGGGAAAUGAUAUAUUCUAAAAAUGAAGAUAUGGGAACUCGGGGGAAAUGUGUGACUAUUAAAAUUAUAGGGGUAUAAUUAUAAAUAUAUAAACUUAUAUAAGUUUUUAUUUAUAUAUGAAUUAUUUUAUAUUUUUUCACACAAACAUAUUCAAAAUGAAUUGUACUAUCAAUCAUCGAUUUGAAAUUGAUCAUUAAAUCGUGUAAAUAAUUAGGGAAACAACAAAACUAUUUAAAUAUUUGCUAUUCAAACAUGUUUACAACUUUCAAAAAUUAUAAAUUGGCCAUAAUGUGUCUGGCAAGUGUUCUCGGGUAUUCGAAACGUUAAAAGUUAAAGUUUCCGUACUACAUAGCUGAUAACAUAUUAGUGAGAGGUUGGGGUUUAAACCAUUUAAAGGUUGUUUAUUAAUUAUUGAUGGACAACAAUAUUAAUUAUUAAAUAUAAUAAAAAUUGUGAGUAGACAUCACCACCAUAAGGCGAAGAGAAACGUUUUGGAUUCUUCAAUUUGAAAACAACAAUAAUAAAAGGAUUUAACUGCAACAAGUGUUAAUUAGAGGGGUUGAGGUGAUAUUAACUCUUAUUUCAAGGGGUUUAAACUAUAAUAAAUACAUACUUACAAAUUGAUCAAAUAAGCCCUUUUCCGAUGAUCAGUUUAAUCUCUCUCUCCUCACUAAACCCCGUACGUCAUGCCAACCGUCGCCGCCGUCACCCGCCGUUAUCCGUUCGCCGCCGUGGGAGGAGGAGACUGCGAAGGCGGCGAUGGAGCUGGUGAAGAGAAACACACAUGCCAACAACAGAGCUCUGAUUGUUGAUUUGCCGCGAGCCUUUAAAGGAUGGCUAUUUCCAGAUUGUAAGCCAUGAAAUUUACUGUUUGGGGCUAAUUACGGUUAAAAGUCCAUAAAUUAAUACAGCCGGGGCUUGCAAAAUACUGUUAAUUUAGCGAAAUAUUACAUUAUCGAAGCUUCUACUGUAUGUGGAAAUGUAAUUGCAUUACUGUUUGCCUUUCUUAUGAUACAAUUAUGUUAAUUGUAGUUAGAAACUAUGGAGAACAUCUGGCUGCUGUUAUAUUUAUAUAUACUUAAUUACUGUUUAACAUGAUUUUUGGGUAAUUGGUCGAAUAUGUUGGUGAGUAUUUUGGUGAUUAUUGUAUUUAUUUACUAUAAUUUGUUUUUUGGUUAUUGUGAUAAUAAUGCCCUAAAUGUGCCAACUGCUGCAAUUUCUGUUGUCGUACAUUAAUUUUUAUCUCCCCAGAAACUCCAUGGUCGUAGGUUAUAGAAAGGCGUGUUACGUUGUUUGACUUACAAUCUUGCAUGCGUGGCUAUCCUGCUUCUCUCUGUUGUAUUAGCUACUAUAGGAUUAGCAUCAAUUUUCUACUCCUUUACUAUAAGUUGUUUUGUAAAAAAAGUUCAAAUGUUUUUCGACCAACAACCUGAAAGAAUUCAAUGUGAAUUGAAUGAUACGUAUGGGUUAACAUCCUUCUUAUCACUGUUGAUUCUAUACACCUUCUGUGUUAUGUGCAUCUUUAAUACAUAUGUGAUCUUCCCACGUCUGUUUUUUAUUAUAUUUGUAACCAUGGAAACUCGAGGUUUGAAGUCAUUAUCAAAUUUCUGCUAAUUUUGCAACUGGUGAAGUUAAUCUAUGUCACAUAUUCUCUAUAGGAAAUUCCACGUCCAAAAAUUAUGACAUCUUAUUGGUAACUUGAUGGUUCGUACUAAUUUUACUUCUCAUUAUUUGAAGGAAUAUGGGGCAUUAUCGCGAGUUGGCGAGAGAUGUGUUUUCAGAAUCAGGUAAUAAUUUAAUUUGGAUGUUGAAGAGUAGCUUUAGUGCUCAUAAGCUGUUUGAUCUCAAUCUGGUAUAGAGACUACAAAAGUUUGGGUUGAGUUUCAAAGUUAUAUGCUUCUAAUCAAAACAACAUCAGAUAUCUAUAAAAUAACCUUUUAGCUUAUUGAGCAGAAAUCAAGCUAAACUUGAUAAAUAUCCUAUUGCUAAUAUGAUAUCAAAAUUGAACAUUCCUAGAAAAUUAAUCCGAAAAGGUAUACUUAGCAGUUGGGUAGAUGUCUACGGUUUCGUAAACCGACCGAACCAAAACCAAAGCUUUAAUUUGUACCGAAUAUUGAACUGCUAUUAUCCUGUUUGAUAUUCGCUUUCCGUAUUUCACAGUUUUGGUUCGGUACUGAUACUUUUGGUUUAAGUUUACGCAACUGAACUGUGCUUUUAGAAAAUCCUUCUUUGUACAUAUAUGAUUGAAGAAGAGAUUUUUCCAUGUAUACAAUCAUUCCUGGUAUUGUCAUAUGUCUUCUUAUUAGCUAGUUUUUGUUCUUUUCUUCCAUCAUAGAAAAUGCGAGUUAAUAAGUUUAAAAGUUUUUUUUUUUUGUUUAAUUCAUUUGCAAUUUUACAUGUAACCCAGAAUUUAAAUAGAGAAUAAUGGUGUAGGCUGGAAGAGCAAUCAAGACCAAGAUGAAAUUUUGGAAAUUUCCAAAGAGCAAUCAAUACCAAGAAUGGCAGUCGGUUUUCAGUAUUGCCAAAAAAUAUUUGGUAUAGUUUACAUGCUACUCAGUUUGGUUGAUGAAAUAUAAUUAGUUGUCUCAUUUAUCAGAAAAUUCACUUAUCCCGGGAUCUUUACGAAUUUACCGAACCACACCAAAUUGUUUGGUUUUGGGUAUUAAGUGUCGUAAAAUGCAAAAUGAUAUUUCUGUUUUCUAAUUUUCGGUUUGCUGAAUGCACAGGCCUUUUGGCUGUGGAUAUUGGGCUUAGAUACUCUUUCAGAAAUCCAAGAAAUGGAUCGUAGAAGUUCAAAACCGUAGUAAAGGUACUGUCAAGCCCAUCCAAUACAUUUUGUUUCCGUACAUUGCUGCCAGCUAAGAAUUAUUAAUGCUAAUACGUCAAAUGAGUUGGCGAGUUGGUGGAUGGAUAAGUCAGAAUUUAUUGCAAUUGACUGUCGACCGUAUCACGGCAGAUUUUCUCACCAUUAUAUAACACGCAUUCUCCGUGCACCAAUUCAUUCACCAUAUCUCCAUGUCUCUCUGCUUUCAGUUUUCUUCCCAUCAUUUUCUCUGAUUUAAGGCUUUUGCUUUAUUUUUGGUUGAAAAUCGGAUGAGAUUUGUGUUAAUAUUUGUAAGUUUUAGUUUGAUUUAGUUUUAGAAUGAUGCCUAUAUCUUUUUCUUAUUCUUGUUACACCCCCCCCCCCCCCCCCACCAAGCUGCAUUCUACCUUCAUUUUUCCAUCGUGUAAUCAUUUUCUCGGAUUCAAGGAUUUUGAUCUAUUUCUGGUUCAAAAACAAAGGACGUAUCUGAUUUGACAUACAUCAUUUUUUUUUUGAAUUUUGUAAUUUUCGAUUUUUCAUUCCCGGUCGCCUAGUUGUUUCUGUCCAUUUCUUUUUGUCUACUUUUCAUUCAAUUCUACCUUGGAUUAAUGAUAGAUCUCAUCUCGAUUUGAAGAUUAGUUUUCUAGGACAAGUUUUUGUGUCAUAGUUACGUUGCUUCUCUUUCUGAUGAUUUUUUUCCCUUGUAGAGUUAUCCAUGAAGAAAUAUCCUCUGCUGGAAAUAUGCAGAGGAACGAGCUCAAUUUUAAGGUAAAUUUCAUGAAGUCAAUUAUGACAGAUCUCUUAGAAUCAAAGAAUGAUAAACAGAGAACAACAGGGAUCUGUUGUUGUUUUUCAAAAAGAAAAUAUAUAGAAAUGAUUUAGUAAAUAAACUUAUCUUAAUUAACUUAAUCAACAGAUCUUACAUUAGAUACCCAUGUGAAAUGGAAGGAAGCUAUCUAUAUUUCUUUUUGAGAGGGUUAUAUCCGGAACUGUAGAUCUCUUAUAAUUUCACUCUCGUAAAGUAAGAUAUUCAAAAACUGAGGACAAUGAGUUCUUAUGUUAACAUGCUUGUCUUUGGGUAUGACAAAGGAAAAGAAGCGACUCAAACAACUGUCAUCACUGCCACAAUAAGGACAAAGAAAAUUUCCUACAGAUUCGGCGACGCAGUUUUCGUACCUGCUGGCUGCCCUCACCAAGCUAGAAAUCUAAAGGUUUGAAUGUCUGGCUCGUAUACAACUUCGUGAACAACUUCAAUUGUUUUUCAGUCGAAUAUACAUUUUAUUCGCUGCGAAUUUCGUAAUUAAUAUUUGUGUACGAUGUUCCAUCUUGCAGUCGUGCACAAGUAUGUCUAUCGACUUUGUUUCAGCAGAAAGUGUCGGUGAGUGCAUCCGCCUGUCAAUGGAAUAUCGGUCGACUCCCUCACAAUCAUAGUUCUAAGGAAGACAAAUUGCAGGUAUGUAAAAUAAUAUGAUUGUCUUGUCAAUAACUAAAAUCGGAGAUAUAUAUAAUGAAUAAAAAUUUGUCUGCUUGUAAGAAAAAUAAAGAUUGCGGACGACAUCUAACGGCUCGUAAUAAAACAGGUGAAGGGAUUGGUUCUCAGCGCUGUACUUGGACAAGAUUGAUGCGUAAGUCAUAUAUGCUUGUUAAACAUAUGUCUUUGAUACGAUACGAUGUUAAUUCAUUUUAUUUUAUUCUUUACCAGUACUACGUUAAGAAGUCCAUUUGCACCGUACGCCAGAAUCCAGCUCAGCAAGGGGAGAAACCUAGUGUUUCACAAAUGAGGAGGGAGUUGGAGCGGAUGAAAUCGGCUCUCGAAACGAAAGGCCACCUUUUUCAACCCCAUAUGAAAGACUAUCUCUUAAAAGAGAUUCAGCGCCUCAUUGACAAAAUAAGCUUCAGUAUGCUCUUUCAGAUAUGGUACAUUUGCACCCUCUAUACGCAUCGGAAUGUACAUCGGAACCCUGCGCUGACGAAAAGGAAUGUGUUGGCAGGUGAUUAAAUUUACUCUUGAAAGAAAAAACGGAGAAUGUUUUCAACCGCAUAUGAAAGACUAUCUUUUAAAAGAGACUCGCUAACAAAAUAAACUCCAUUUGCAGAGUCGUAUUCGUCUUAGUGACAACAUGAAAGAAGGAAUUUUUGUAUUUAUAUGUUUUUUUUUAUAAUGAAUUAUUUACUGAUGAGUUGAUUUAUUUCAAUUUGAUUAGUUUAAUCUCUCCUCACUAAAUUCCCAUAUGUGGAAGUGCAAUACCCAUGCCAACCGUCGCCGCCGUCACCCGCCAUUAUCCUCCGCCGCCGUGGGAGGAGGAGACUGCGAAGGCGGCGAUGGAGCUGGUGAAGAAAGAAACACACAUGCCAACAACAGAGCUCUGAUUGUUGAUUUGCUGCGGGCCUUUAAAGGAUGGCUAUUUCCAGAUUGUAAGCCAUGAAAUUUUACUGUUUGGGCUAAUUACGGUUAAACCUCUAUAAAUUAAUACAGUCGGGGCUUGCAAAAUACUGCUAAUUUAGCGAACUAUUAAAUUUAUCGAAGUAGUAAUUUUAAUAUGUUUUUACCGGGUCGGACCGUGAGAAAUUAUUAUUUAAGCGAGGUUAUUAAUUUAUCGAGGUUCUACUGUGUGUUGAAAUGUUAUUGCAUUACUGUUUGCCUUUCUUAUGAUACCAAUAUGUUAAUUGCAGCUAGAAACUAUGGACAACCUCAUGUUGCUGCUGUUAUAUUUAUAUAUACUUCAUUACUUUUUAACAUUUGGUCGAAUGUGUUGGUGAGUAUUUGUUGAUUAUUGUUUUUAGUUACUAUAAUUUUUUUUUGGUUAUUGUGAUAAUAAUGCCCUAAAUGUGCCAACAGCUGCAAUUUCUAUUGCCGUAUAUUAAUUUUUAUGUCCACAGAAACUCCAUGGUCGUAGGUUAUAGAAAGGCGUGUUACAUUGUUUGACUUACAAUCUUGCAUGCGUGGCUAUCCUGCUUCUCUCUGUUGUAUUAGCUGCUAUAGGAUUAGCAUCAAUUGUUGUUUCUCCUUUACUAUACGUUGUUUUGUUAAAAAAAAUCAAAUGUUUUUCGACCAAAAAACCGAAAGAAUUCAAUGUGAAUUGAAAGUACGUAUGGGUUAACGUCCUUCUUAUCACUGUUGAUUCUAUACACCUUCUGUGUUAUGCGCAUCUUCCCACGUCUGUAUUUUAUUAUAUUUGUAACCAUGGAAACUCGAGGCUUGAAAUCAUUAUCAAAUUUCUGCUAAUUUUGCAACUGGUGAAGUUAAUCUAUGACACAUAUUCUCUAUAGGAAACUCCUCGUCCAAAAAUUAUGACAUCUUAUUGGUAACUUGAUGGUCCCAACUAAUUUUACUUCUCCUUAUUUGAAGGAAUAUGGGGCAUGAUCGAGAGGUGGCGAGAGAUGUAUUUUCAGAAUCAGGUAAUAAUUUAAUUUGGAUGUUGAAGAGUAGCCUUAGUGCUCUUUUAAGUGUCAAAUAAUCGGAAAGUGCUUCAUCUGAUAACAUUUAUAUGAAAAACCAAAUGUCGCAGAUAUGAAUGCGUGACUUAGUUAUUCAAGACUAAAGUAUAUGUUAAUAAAGCUAUUAGUUACUAUAUGUCUUCAGUUAAUUUGUUCAAGUAUUGAUCAAAUAUAUUAUACACAAUUGCAAGUGAUAUUACUCUUCGAUAUGUUCAAACAUCUCAAAAGAACUUUGGUUUUAGGAAAAGAAAUCCUGCCUGAUAUUUGGAAGGUAAAACAAUCGGGAAUGAGGUUUUUAGCAUCACACCUUGAGUUUUUGCUUUUUUCAUACCUAGGUAAACUAAAUUAAUGGCUCAAGGAAGUUCACAAUAGACUGUGUGGUACAUUUCAUAUCUCGCCAAAUGUCAUUUUGCUGACAGCUAUGGUUGGUGUAACUGCUAAUAUGUAAAGUUAGCUGGCAUCGUCACUGGAUAUGAAGCAAUUUAUUAGGGGUCGAUACAAUCAAUGCUGACCUUAUCGAUUUACUGGCGGAGUUUCCCACAAAUAAAUUUUACCCUCCCCUCCCUCCCUACUCCCAUUCUUCUAUCUCGCCCAUUCUCUCCACCUCUGUAUCCCUUGUUCAAUUUUCCAUCUUCGUCUCCUCAUUUUCUCAAAUUAAAAGCUUCUGUUUUGUUUGUGGUUCAGAAUCAGAAGAGUUUGUUAUCUGAUUUAGGUGAUUUUAUAUUACCUUUUCUUGUUUUUCCCUUUUUUUUUUUCUUAAACUAGAUGAACUGAGUUUGCUAUCUAAUUUCCACCACUUUCAUGUUACAUUUCAUGACACGAUAUGUUCUAUUUUAGAUUAAAAAAGAACAUGUGUUUGUCAUAUUGAUUUUGAAGAUUAUAUUGUAUGAUUAGUUUUCUUACUCCUCCUUGGUGAUUAUUUUAUCGUUUAUGUUGUAGAAACUAACAAUUUUGAAAAAAACAUUCUUCUAUAAAUAAGGUUGGUUUAAUCACUGCAUGUAUUCUUACUUAUAAUUAAAACUUAAAAUAAUAGAUGUAUAAUUAGAGUGGUGCAAUCCUUAUGAAGAAACCAAUAACCACUAUUAUAUAAUUUAUAUUUUUUUUCCUUACAUGAUUAUGAGCCAUUUGAUGAAGUUAUUAAACUUGUACUCAUAUGUUCUUGAAUAUAAUCCUUUAUGCUCUAUUGUAAUCAUGUAUUCAAAUCAAAGUAUAUCAUUAAUGGUUUAAAAUUGUUGUUAUUCUCUGUUAGUCUUUAGGUUACAACAUUUUCAUGCCUUGAAAUAGGUUUCAUAACCUGUAUCUCCCACUUUUUUUUUGUUGGUAGAAUUUAGAGGACAAAAAUACAUUAGUCGGCAUAGGUUAUGUGAACAUAUUAAAAAUUUAAUUAUAAUGGUUGAAAUAUUUAUUAAUAGAUUCUGGUGCACCAAUUUUAUUGUCAGUGUGCAUAAGUAGUAAGUAGCAAUAAUUUAAAACAAAUAUUUUUCUUAAAAUGUCCUUAAGGAAUCCUAAUUUGAGAUUUUUUUUUCUGGGGCCCUCCUUUUUACAGGCAUGGUAAGUAAAAACGUUUUUGGUUAGUGAGAAGGAAAAUGAUUUAUAUAUUUAUAUGAAUCAGCAUAAGAUUGCAAUAGUCAGUAUUAUAUUGCAGUAAUAUGUAUAAGUUUGCAAUAGUCAACAUUAUAUUGCAGUGAGCAGUAUCGGAUUACAGUAAUCAACACAAUUUUCCUUUUUUGCUGGUAAGACCUCCUUAUUUCAUUUUCCCUGGAACAAUUAUGCAUACAUUUUGCCAUUGCAGUUAAGAGAACAAUUGAAAACCAAGAUUUAUCAAGGCAAUUAAUUUUCGGGGAGUUAAAAUGAUGCCGUCGAGAAGUACAAAUGGAGAAACAUCUUCUGCUGGAAAUAUGCAAAUGAACAGACACAACUUAAAGGUAAAUUAAUAAUGUUAAUUGUAGAAUUAAAUUGCUAUAAGAUUUGAUAUAAGCAUAUAGGUUGCAGAAUUCGGUUAUCCGUGCAAUUGUCUUGUAUCAAAUACUUUUUAGAAGUAAAAAAAUCAAAUUCCAUUUUGUGUUUGUCUUUUCAAUGAGACCCCAUGUGUAAAUACCAAAUUAGAAAAACCUUUCUUUCAGACUAUUUAUAGUGAAAUUACUUUGACUAAAUACAUUUAUAUAUACAGCAGGGGGACCGGUAAGUGUGGAUUCUUCGAUUUUGUGAUGUUGGUCUUGAAUUAUUUAGUAUUCAAUCAUGAAGUGUUUAAUUUAAAAAAUGUAUCUUUGUAAUUUUAAUCGAUAGAUCUAACAUUAGAUAUGUGUGUGUGUGUGUGUGUGCGCGCGCGCUCAUGUGUGUGUGUAUACGCAAUUUUAGAGUAAAUGCAUACAAAUUUUGGAUGAUCUGUCAUAAUUUCAUAAUAUUCGAAGGCGUUUAAAUGUUGUUCUGAAAUAACUUGAUUACGGCAGAAAACGAUGACAUGUCACAACAAUUAAAGUUAAGACCCUAAAGAAGAUUAAAUCCAAAACUGCGGAUCUCAUCUAAUUCAUUCCAUUGCCAACUUUUCAUAAAGUACUAUAUAAAAAAUCGAGGAUAUACUCUAUGUUAAUAUGUUUUUCUUUGGAUGUGGCAGAGGAAAAGCAUCGACUCGACCAAUUGCCAUCAAUGUCAUAGAAAUGACAAAGAAAAAGUUGUACGAUGCACCAAGUGCAAGCAUAGGGGUUAUUGUAUUCUCUGUAUCAAUAAAUGGUGAGAAAUUUUGUUGCUUGAUAUAUUUUUUGUUGCUCUUAUGUUGGUACUUGGUAUAUCUUACAUGGUGGCUUAUAUUUUGUAAUAUGGAUAAAUGUCAUUUAAGUCAUACUGAUUAAUUUUGAGUUUUACCGCCACAAAGCAGGAUGGUAUAUUUAUUAUCUUCUCUUUGGAAUAUACCUACUACCCAUUUAGUCAUUUAUGAAUGAAUUUUUGCUUAAACAUGUUUCAAAGUAAGGGCUUCCCUUGGUUCUACACUUACAUUAUUCCUGCAUUUUCUUCAAUAUAUAUAUAUAUAUAUAUAUAUAUAUAUAUAUAUAUAUAUAUAUAUAUAUAUAUAUAUAUAUAUAUAUAUAUUUUAUCGUCGAUAUACUAUAUCUCUGUGGUACACACAGAUACAGAGGCUGCAAGAGGCAGACUUUGCUGAAGCAUGCGCAGGCUGUCGCAAAUUGGCAACUGUACAGCUGGCAUACAUUCUGAUCUGGAGAAUAAAGUUAGUAUUAAGGUUCUUCUCUUGAUUUUAUAUUAAUAUAGGAUUAUAUGUUUUCUAAUUAAGUCUCUUGUUCUUGCAUGUUAGGAUUUGUUCAAACCAGACUUGCAGCUCGACAUCAACAAAAAGGUCCAGUACUCAAAGUAUAUUAUUAGAGUACUUCUUCCUUCGUUUAGGAAGUUUGUUGUUGAGCAGAACAUAGAAAGAGAAGAAGAGGCAAGAAUUCAAGGUAACUUUAACUUUUGUUAGGAGGUUUUGCUUAGAAAAUUAUUUUGAUAUCUCUUAUCUUCUUGUUACUGAUAUGGAUUUUGAUGCCUCCAAACGAAACCGAAGUGUCUUAAAAUGGUAUUUAAUGGCACUAUGCAUCAUUGAAGUUUCAGGAUGAUUUUUUCUAAUAAUAUUAAUUUAUGCCGUGUAGAAGUGUUGAACAUAUUUAAUGUUUAUCGUACACUACUUGUUUCCUGAAGAUCUAUGAGUUUAAAAGUGAGAUUCUUAUUUUAGGCGUGCCUUUGUUUGUGUUACUAAACACCCUGGAAAACAGCACAAAAAUCUAAAUCUAAUUUUCUUGUCUGUAUCAAUUCUACUACGACGAUCCAUCACCACUGCCUCGACCAUUAUCCCGCCAAAAAUGUAUAUUCACUGUUUAUUCGAAAGAUAGAAUAAAUAUGAAAAAUAUUUUAUAUGUUAAUAGUUUCCGUUAAUUGUAUGUGCUACUCCAUUUCAGUGAUUUAUGAUUUUGAGGUAUUAGUGAGACGUACCUGGAGAUAAACACUAUUGAUAGAACUCUUAAUUUUCCCUAGCAGAUGUAGUUUCGUUGUUUGAUUAAUUAUAAUAUAUAUAUUUUGGUUGGGCAGGUGUUUCAGUUGCGGGACUACAGCUUCCGAAAGCCAACUUUAUCCACGACGAUAAAGUCAAAUGGUGGAUACUUUUAACCUAUGCCCUUUUCCUGAUAAAUGUUUGCUCCAGUAUGGAAAAUGUUGAUAAUUAUAACUUGUGCUGUGCAGUGACAACUGUAAGACUGCAAUAUUCGAUAUCCACAGAAGUUGUCUAAACUGCAUGUACAAGCUCUGCGUAACUUGUUGCCGAGAGAUAAGGAAUGGCUUCCAAUGGGGAAAUGAUAAAUAUCACGUUCAUCAUGGGGGUCGUACUUUUACAAGCAAUGAUAGAUUUUCUGCAGCAGCCUGUUGCUCUAUGGACCACACGAGUUUUACUUCUGAAUGGAAGCUGAUAGACAGAAGUACCAUAGUUUGUCCACCUGAAAUUAUGGGGGGAUGUGCUCAUGGGAAUCUGGUGUUAAAGUCCACAUAUCCAGAUAACUGGGUAUCGGAACUGCUAAUUAAAGCAGAGUCCAUAGAUCUCGAGGUGGGUGAAGUUUCCGAAGAAGCAUGCUCAUGUUCAGGGACUGCAGUCCGUAAUAUCCGCUGUCCCAAAGUUGUGGGCGUUGACCAAAAGCACUUCCAACGGCACCUAUAUAAAGGUGAGCCUGUGAUAGUUCCUGACGUGCUCAGCAGAACGACUGGGUUGAGUUGGGAGCCAUUAGUCAUGUGGCGUGGUUGCCGCAAAUCCAGAAGGACUAAUGACGCUCGCAUUCUGGAAUUCAGCGUAACAAAUUGUGUAAAUUGGUGCAAGGUAUGCCGACUUCUCUAUUAUGUUUUACUCUAUCAAUCAAAAAGUUUUAAUUUGUAAUUUGUGAUUGGACUUCGCUUAUUUUACAUCCUUUUAAUCGUAUACCUCUUUUUUUUUUUUUUUGUUUUUCACAGUCAUGGUCUUAUUUCUUGUAACUGUUUCUAGGUUGUAUUCUUUAUGUUCUUGAGCAUUCACUUGCUGCAUAUGUAAUCUUUCAAAAGAAGGACUAAGUAACAAAAAUACUAAUCUCUUAUCGUCCUUAGUUUCGGUGCAAAUUUCUCUUCAUAUUGUAUCAACCUUCAAAAUGUCAAAACUUUGGUUGGGUUAAUAAGUGUCUAACACGAAUUUGGAUAGGAUAAAGCAAAGAUCUGACAAUUCGUCGUACUCGACAUGUUUCUUAAAAUAGAGAUGUUUUGAUAGAUUUGUUCUUGAUGUUUGUUUUCCUAUUUAAUUGAAAUGAGACCGAUAUAUACGUCGCCUUUACCCUUUUUAUUCGCUAUGUUAAGUGUCACUUCUUAUGUAGGUUUUAGUCUGUCAGUUCCUAUGCAUUAUGCACGUGUACUUUUGUUUUCAUUAGCUUAAAGAUGUGGUGUUGUAAUGAUUUGAUUUUCGGGCUAUGACACGCAGGAAACUAUAAACAUGCACCAAUUUUUCAAUGGGUAUUCUGAAGGCCUCUUGGACAGUGAAGGCCGGCCCAAAAUUUUGAAGUUGGAGGAUUGGCCUCCAACUGAAUCCUUUCAAGAACGGCUGCCUCGGCAUUUUGUAGAGUUCAUUAGAUGCUUGCCGUUCAAGCUAUACACACAUGAAGCUGGCUACCUCAACAUGCCAGCGAAAACGCCGAAGAAGUCGUUGAAGCCGGAUUUGGGUCAAAAAAUAUGCUUUGCUUAUGGAGUCAAUGAGGACCUUGGCUUCUGUUCUGCAACCAAGCUUCAGUAUGCUGUUUCAGAUAUGGUACAUUUUUUUCUGUUAUUAUCUUUCUUUAUUAACUUGAAUAUUUAUGAGAAUAUAUGAACUGCUUUAAAUCAUUUCCAAUUAGUCUGCCUAUUGCAUCGAUAGAAGCAGUACAUCUCCGAAAGAUUAUUCUUAUGAAGUCGUGGGUAUUUCUAUCUAUUCAACGCAGUCCUAGUUCUUCUUUCUUGCAUGUAAUAUGUUAAUCUUAAUUGUUGACUCAUUAUACGCAAGAUAGAAUGAUGUUGAAUAUGCUUUAAACUUGAGUUUCAAUUAGGAAUAAUAGUCAUGAAAAAAUUUGGAAUAAUGUAGAGGCAUAAAAGUUCGAUCACAAACUAUUUCUUGAAGAAGAGAAAUGGAUUUGCUGUGAGCCUCCAUGGUUCUUGAAAUAUGACAUAGUCAUAUAAUUGAGCAAUAUGGUUAGCCUCUUCAUGAUGGAGUUAACUUUUGAUUCCAAUUUACUAUGAAACUUUCAAUAGGAUAAAAUAUAUUAAUUAUGUAGAUUUACUUCUCUUUUUGCCUUACUUUAUUUUUGCCUUAUUUUAUUGGGAAAAUUUUGGGCUAUAAUAAGAUUAUGUAACUUCAAAUCUUUUGUGGAUUGAGACACAAGGGUUGCCCAUUGUGUCAACAUCACUAGCGACUAGUGAUGUACCUAGUCUAUCGAUUAUCGUUAAUGCACGACUUGUUUCGAUACCGAUGGGGACCUAUAGAUACAAUAUUAGGCUCGGAACACAUUUAGAUUGUCAUACAAUUUGUGUGAUCUACGGGUUGAGGAAAAGAAUCGGGAAUGGUCAAAGUGGUUGCAAAGUAGGUGAUACGAGCCUCGUAAGAGUUGCUAGAGACCCUGUAGCAAGAACGAAACAUCCAAAAGGAAGGAUUCAAGUUGGAUUAACAUGGAAUAUGGACCCUAUGAAGAACUAGAAAUCAAUAUUCUUAGGAUGGAAUAUUGACCCAUGGUUAUAUCAAACCAAAAACAAUUAUUAUACGGCAAAGAAAAUUACAAGAAACAACUUGUAAAUUCCUGAAGGUUGUUGUAGAACAUCGAUGGAUAAUUGAUCUUGAAGAACUCAAAAUAAUUCAUUAAACUUUGUGUACGAAAGUUGUGUAUACAACCUAUUUAUAAGUGCUUCAAAGACUCAUUUCUCACAAAAAAAUAGAGUUCCUACCUUUACUAUAAUAAGAAAACUAACAAUUAAGCUAAUUCUAACCAUAAACGAAUUCUACAUGUCACUUUUCUUGAAACUUAUCGACUAUACGCCAUUUUUCUUAAUUGGUGGAGAUUUGGGUAUGCACGUGCAACAACUUUGAGCCCAAUUUUGUCCAUCUUGCAUUCCGUCUUACUAAAGCAUGAAACUUCAAGAUCUUUUGUUGGCUUUUCGUAACAUUUUGAAUUAUGGCAAUCCAAUAUCGGACGUGAGAGUUAUGAUCCGAAUUGAAAAUUUGCGAGAGACAUCUGAGAUUUUGGACGCAUGACAAUUGGUUGGUACGACGAAUUCCUUUCUUUAUUGCCUUCGAAUUCCUCAUCAUGGGGACCUCGGAGUAUUGAUUCAAGUUUAUAUUCUUCACCGCCAACUCCCACAAGAUCACGCAUUCUCUCUUCUUCCAAUUCUUCCAAAUCUUCAUCUUCAAGCUAUCAGGAUCGUAUCAAAAGGAGAAUCUUCAGAAGGAGAAGGAGAAGGAAAAGCUUUAGAGAGAGAAGAAUUGUUGGCGUCUUAUAUACCUAGAACUCAUAAGUAUUAAAUGAGGAUGUGGAAUCACCUCAUGUAAUCCCAAGGAAGGUCAAAGCUCUUUAAAUGUGAAAAAUUGUUUCCAUAUUAAUAAUGCAUAACGAUGAAAUUCUUCUCCCCGAGUUGAUAUUACGAUGAUUGAACUUAUUAACUUCUAAUACUAUUCUAAUACAUAAAAAUUAACUUCUUAAGAAAGUGAUCUUAAAUUAUAGGAAUUUUGAGUUUCUAAAAUACCGUUAAGACCGUACUAAAUAGAAAAUACGGAUUAAGACUAUAAAGUAUAAAUCACCUAUUAUUAUCUUCAAUUAAGAAUUAUGUUGAAAGUGGUUUGUUAGUGAACCUUCUUAUUGGGAGUAGAAAGAGUAAUCUCUCAAUACUUCAAGUUUCAUAUUUGAAGCGAGUCAAAAUGGGUGAGGGUAUUUUCUAUAAAUAGUAAAUAGUAUAUACAUGUGGUAAAUAAGAGGAUAUUAUAGAUCCGAGUCAUAGAAUAUAUUAAAUUCUCAUACAAGUUAUUCAAUCUAAUACAAUGAUUUUGUUGUAUCUAGGUAUCGAGUAGGAACAACUUGUUCAUAACGUAGUUGUUUUUAACUUUAGGCAAGGAUCUUGCUUCUAGAUUGCAUUUGGUCGACGUCGUGCAAAAAUAGUACAUGUAGAGUUAAAAUGAGAUAUAUUAAAUAGUUUAUUAGAUAUACUUACUCUAGUAUGAGAUGUUACAAGUGUAAUUUUUUGCUAUUACUCGAUCACCCCACAUUUGAGCUAUAUAUCAUAUUAUCAUUCAAGCAAGAUAAACAUAGAAACUUUCUGAUAGUCGUCAAAGGAAUGUUUGCGUCCUUUUUUAUGUUUGAUAUUAUUCCUACCUACGUAAAGACUUUAACUUCAACUACUAAAUAGUUUAAUAGGUAAAGAUAUUUAUUUUUGUGUUAUAUGUUACACAUGUAAGCUUUGUGCUUUAUUCUGGUGCUUGUCCAUAGAAAGUUUAUGCUAGUUGUCGAAGGAAUCUAGGAGUCUUUCUUGAUGUUUAAUAUUUUUGUUACCUAAAUCAUUCAACUUAACCUUGUUGAUCGCACUCAAGAUCUCUUUCUACCAUUGCCUAAGUUGUUCUUAUGGAACAUACGAACAAGUGACUACAACAAGUCUUAAUUUGUAUUAUAUUUGUUGUCAGGAUCGUCCUUUUGUUGAUGUCUAACUUUCCCUUCUUUUUUAAUUUUGUAUUAGGUCAAUGUCUUGAUGCAUACAGCUGAAACGUCUCUUAAUCCGGAAGAGCUUUCAACAGUAGUGGAGUUGGGAAGGAAGCACAUUGCCCAAGAUCCACUGGUAUUUCGUGUAAGCAAUGGGAAAGCAAAUCAAGAUGCCCCAAGAAAUCAACAAUUUGAAAGAGAAAAUAAAAAUAAAGGAAAGGAAAAAGUUGAUCCUUCAACCUCAGAAAACAACGAUCCAAGCUUCGAUGAACAAAAAUGUGGUGCUAUCUGGGACAUUUUUCGGAGGCAAGAUGUUCCUAAGCUGGAAGACUAUCUCCGAAGGCAUUACGGAGAGUUCAGGCGUGUCGUCCCUUUGCAGCAAGUAAUUAAAUCUUGAAUUUGAAAACAAUGUUCUACUCAACUUAUUCUGUUAUGGGGUUUAUCUCUCAUAUGGUAGUUACUAUUAUUUUUCUAACAGAAUUCUAAAAAUCAAGAUUUUGUUAAGCUUUUGGUAUGAUCUUUUAUUGUCGUAGCAUAAGUAGAUAGAUGUCUUUUAUUUUUCCAAAGUAUCGAUAUGUUUUGGAAUAUUUAUCAUUUAUUUUUUCCUCUAUUCGUGCACAGCUGGUUCAUCCUAUUCAUGAGAAAGCAUUUUACUUAACGAUGGAGCAUAAAAGGAAGCUGAAAGAUGAAUAUGGUAUGUUUUUAUUGUGUUGUAAAGUGGAAUAUGUGUGAAUUGCUAUGUAUAUUGAUUAUCUAUUUUUAUAUAUAUUUUUUUUUGUAGGAAUUGAACCAUGGACCUUUGUCCAGAGAUUAGGCGAUGCAGUUUUGGUACCAGCUGGCUGCCCUUACCAAGCAAGAAACUUAAAGGUUUGAGUGUUUGACUCGUAUACAACUUCGUGAACGACGACUUCAAUUAUUUUCAGUCGAAUGUAAAUUUUUCGCUGUGAAUUUUGCAAUUAAUUUUUGUGUGCGUGUUCCAUCUUGCAGUCGUGUACGAGUAUGUCCAUCGACUUUGUUUCAGCUGAAAGCGUCGGUCAGUGCAUCCGCCUAUCAACGGAGUAUCGGCGUCUCCCAAAGAAUCAUAGUUGUAAGGAAGACAUGCUGCAGGUAUGUCAAAAAUACGAUUGUCUUGUCAAUAAACAAAAUCAAAGAUAUAUAAUGAAUAAAAUUUGUCUGCUUGUAAGAAAAAUAAAGAUUGUGGAUGACAGCUAACGGCUCGUAAUGAAACAGGUGAAGAGAUUGGUUCUUAGUGCUGUCUGCCAAGCUGUGCAGUACUUGGACAAGAUUGAUGCGUAAGUCAUAUAUACAUAGGCUUGUUAAACAUAUGUCUUUGAUACGAUGUUAAUUCAUUUUAUUUUGUUCUUUCCCAGUAUGACGUUAAGAAGUCCAUUUGCACCCCCCUUUGAGCAUGGGAAUGUACGCCAUAAUCCAGCUCAGCAAGGGGAGAGACCUAGUAUUUUACAAAUGAGGAGGGAGUUGGAGAGGAUGAAAUUGGCUCUCGUAACGAAAGGCCACCUUUUUCAACCUCAUAUGAAAGACUAUCUCUUAAAAGAGAUUACGCUCCUCACUAA